GGCAAAUCUUCUCCUAGCAUGACCAUUUCACAAGCACCUGUUUCAAAGAAAGCAGACAGGAUUGCAAAUAACUAUUGAAGGCUCAUACGUAAGGAUACGCCGUUCUGGUGCUUACAAUUGAUUAACCCCAUUUAUAUUAAUGACCGUAAUAAGCUGUGGACAUAAUAUUACAUCGGAAGUACGUAUUGGUCAUUGUAUAACGUUCAAUCUUCUAAUCUAAUCGACAUCCAUAUCGCCGGCAAAGUUCCAGAUCUACUUUGUUCCGUUCUCCGGUCGAAGUUAUCCGCUUACAUUAUUCUACGUUAAUUGCUCGGCACGUGACCAUGAUAAUGCUGCAUCCGGUGCUUCCUCGUGGUAUCGCCACUUCACCUGCCGCGUGGCAUAUUAUUCGAUUGACGUAAGUUUAUUGCGGCAUGGUAUCUUGGAGGACUUUAUACACACACACACACGCACCCAUAGCCGCUCACCUUUGUCCAACUGGAACGACGGGGACAAUUUGGGGUGGAAAUCUAUUCGUGACUACACCCGUGGAUACAAUGCAUGCAAAUGUGUGAGUGCGUACGUCUACAAUUGCAGCAGGCUGCAUCGACCUACGUUUGACUCUCGACACGAGGCAAAGCGUAGAAAGCACGCGUCGGUACUCGGCUGGUUCUUUUGAACUUUAGCCUGGGGUCAAAGUCAAAGCCUGCAGGGGCACGGGGGAAAGAAUAUUAUCUACCUUAUAGUAUACCCUCUGUACUUCUCAAUAAAUUUCUGCUCGUUAAUUUUGCCACUCAAAGAAAUUCGAAUAUAUAUUCAGUUGACAAUACUUGUUGGUAUUGCUGUUUGUCGAGUGCAUAUUCGCGUUCCCUGUAUCUACAAUGACA